rnacentral:rRNA from 1 species
GAUGAACGCUGGCGGCGUGCCUAAUACAUGCAAGUCGAGCGAACAGAUAAGGAGCUUGCUCCUUUGACGUUAGCGGCGGACGGGUGAGUAACACGUGGGUAACCUACCUAUAAGACUGGGAUCACUUCGGGAAACCGGAGCUAAUACCGGAUAACAUUUGGAACCGCAUGGUUCUAAAGUGAAAGAUGGUUUUGCUAUCACUUAUAGAUGGACCCGCGCCGUAUUAGCUAGUUGGUAAGGUAACGGCUUACCAAGGCGACGAUACGUAGCCGACCUGAGAGGGUGAUCAGCCACACUGGAACUGAGACACGGUCCAGACUCCUACGGGAGGCAGCAGUAGGGAAUCUUCCGCAAAGGGCGAAAGCCUGACGGAGCAACGCCGCGUGAGUGAUGAAGGGUUUCGGCUCGUAAAACUCUGUUAUUAGGGAAGAACAAAUGUGUAAGUAACUGUGCACGUCUUGACGUUACCUAAUCAGAAAGCCACGGCUAACUACGUG